UAGGGAAUCUUCGGCAAUGGACGAAAGUCUGACCGAGCAACGCCGCGUGAGUGAAGAAGGUUUUCGGAUCGUAAAACUCUGUUGUUAGAGAAGAACAAGGACGUUAGUAACUGAACGUCCCCUGACGGUAUCUAACCAGAAAGCCACGGCUAACUACGUGCCAGCAGCCGCGGUAAUACGUAGGUGGCAAGCGUUGUCCGGAUUUAUUUGGCGUAAAGCGAGCGCAGGCGGUUUCUUAAGUCUGAUGUGAAAGCCCCCGGCUCAACCGGGGAGGGUAAUUUGAAACUGGGAGACUUGAGUGCAGAAGAGGAGAGUGGAAUUCCAUGUGUAGCGGUGAAAUGCGUAGAUAUAUGGAGGAACACCAGUGGCGAAGGUGGCUCUCUGGUCUGUAACUGACGCUGAGGCUCGAAAGCGUGGGGAGCAAACAGG
rnacentral:rRNA from 1 species